GUGACCCGAAAAGCCAGUUUUUGCAGCUAAGAAGAAAUUGCUCUAAAAUAGAAGAUUUUGAACAACAAACUACUAUGUUAAAAGACACAAGUUCUUAGAAAAAACUAUCCAGUAUAAAACUUGGAAACCACUAUUGAUGAAAUUAAAAUCCGAAAUAGAAACGAUCUUCUGGUCUAUAAAGAAAAAAAACAAUGAGGCUCCCUCUAUCCCCAUUAUUUUUUAUUUUAAUAACAAAAGCAA